rnacentral:rRNA from 1 species
CUGAGUACGGCGGAACACGUGAAAUUCCGUCGGAAUCCGGGAGGACCAUCUCCCAAGGCUAAAUACUCCCUAGUGACCGAUAGUGAACCAGUACCGUGAGGGAAAGGUGAAAAGCACCCCGGAAGGGGAGUGAAACAGUUCCUGAAACCGUGUGCCUACAAGUAGUUAGAGCCCGUUAAUGGGUGAUAGCGUGCCUUUUGUAGAAUGAACCGGCGAGUUACGAUUUGUUGCAAGGUUAAGCGGAAAAAGCGGAGCCGUAGCGAAAGCGAGUCUGAAUAGGGCGCAUAAGUAACAGGUCGUAGACCCGAAACCAGGUGAUCUACCCAUGUCCAGGAUGAAGGUAAGGUAAUACUUACUGGAGGUCCGAACCCACGCACGUUGAAAAGUGCGGGGAUGAGGUGUGGGUAGCGGAGAAAUUCCAAUCGAACUUGGAGAUAGCUGGUUCUCUCCGAAAUAGCUUUAGGGCUAGCCUCGAGGUAAAGAGUCAUGGAGGUAGAGCACUGUUUGGACUAGGGGCCCUUCUCGGGUUACCGAAUUCAGAUAAACUCCGAAUGCCAUGUACUUAUACUCGGGAGUCAGACUGCGAGUGAUAAGAUCCGUAGUCGAAAGGGAAACAGCCCAGACCACCAGUUAAGGUCCCCAAAUAUAUGUUAAGUGGAAAAGGAUGUGGGGUUGCUUAGACAACCAGGAUGUUGGCUUAGAAGCAGCCACCAUUGAAAGAGUGCGUAAUAGCUCACUGGUCGAGUGACCCCGCGCCGAAAAUGUACCGGGGCUAAACAUAUUACCGAAACUGUGGAUGAACCUCUUUAGAGGUUCGUGGUAGGAGAGCGUUCUAAGGGCGGUGAAGUCAGACCGGAAGGACUGGUGGAGCGCUUAGAAGUGAGAAUGCCGGUAUGAGUAGCGAAAGAAGGGUGAGAAUCCCUUCCACCGAAUAUCUAAGGUUUCCUGAGGAAGGCUCGUCCGCUCAGGGUUAGUCGGGACCUAAGCCGAGGCCGAUAGGCGUAGGCGAUGGACAACAGGUAGAGAUUCCUGUACCAGUGCUAAUUGUUUAACCGAUGGGGUGACACAGAAGGAUAGGGAAUCGCACGAAUGGAAAUGUGC